AACGAACGCUGGCGGCAGGCUUAACACAUGCAAGUCGAGCGCCCCGCAAGGGGAGCGGCAGACGGGUGAGUAACACGUGGGGAUCUGCCCAAUGGUACGGAAUAGCUCCGGGAAACUGGAAUUAAUACCGUAUGUGCCCGCAAGGGGAAAGAUUUAUCGCAAUUGGAUGAACCCGCGUCGGAUUAGCUAGUUGGUGUGGUAAAGGCGCACCAAGGCGACGAUCCGUAGCUGGUCUGAGAGGAUGAUCAGCCACACUGGGACUGAGACACGGCCCAGACUCCUACGGGAGGCAGCAGUGGGGAAUAUUGGACAAUGGGCGCAAGCCUGAUCCAGCCAUGCCGCGUGAGUGAUGAAGGCCUUAGGGUUGUAAAGCUCUUUCGCCGACGAAGAUAAUGACGGUAGUCGGAGAAGAAGCCCCGGCUAACUUCGUGCCAGCCGCCGCCGUAAUAC
rnacentral:rRNA from 1 species